rnacentral:tRNA from 1 species
GAGGAUAUAGCUCAGUGUUAGAGUACUUGCCUAGUAAGCAUGAGAUCCUGGGUUCAACUCUCAAUAUCAUCC